rnacentral:rRNA from 1 species
CCAAGGCUAAAUACUCCUGACUGACCGAUAGUGAACCAGUACCGUGAGGGAAAGGCGAAAAGAACCCCGGCGAGGGGAGUGAAAAAGAACCUGAAACCGUGUACGUACAAGCAGUGGGAGCACAGGUUUACCUGUGUGACUGCGUACCUUUUGUAUAAUGGGUCAGCGACUUAUAUUCUGUAGCAAGGUUAACCGUAUAGGGGAGCCGGAGGGAAACCGAGUCUUAACCGGGCGUUAAGUUGCAGGGUAUAGACCCGAAACCCGGUGAUCUAGCCAUGGGCAGGUUGAAGGUUGGGUAACACUAACUGGAGGACCGAACCGACUAAUGUUGAAAAAUUAGCGGAUGACCUGUGGCUGGGGGUGAAAGGCCAAUCAAACCGGGAGAUAGCUGGUUCUCCCCGAAAGCUAUUUAGGUAGCGCCUCGUGAAUUCAUCUCCGGGGGUAGAGCACUGUUUCGGCUAGGGGGCCAUCCCGGCUUACCAACCCGAUGCAAACUGCGAAUACCGGAGAAUGUUAUCACGGGAGACACACGGCGGGUGCUAACGUCCGUCGUGAAGAGGGAAACAACCCAGACCGCCAGCUAAGGUCCCAAAGUCAUGGUUAAGUGGGAAACGAUGUGGGAAGGCACAGACAGCCAGGAUGUUGGCUUAGAAGCAGCCAUCAUUUAAAGAAAGCGUAAUAGCUCACUGGUCGAGUCGGCCUGCGCGGAAGAUGUAACGGGGCUAAACCAUGCACCGAAGCUGCGGCAGCGACGUUUAUGCGUUGUUGGGUAGGGGAGCGUUCUGUAAGCCUGCGAAGGUGGCCUGUGAGGGUUGCUGGAGGUAUCAGAAGUGCGAAUGCUGACAUAAGUAACGAUAAAGCGGGUGAAAAGCCCGCUCGCCGGAAGACCAAGGGUUCCUGUCCAACGUUAAUCGGGGCAGGGUGAGUCGACCCCUAAGGCGAGGCCGAAAGGCGUAGUCGAUGGGAAACGGGUUAAUAUUCCCGUACUUGGUGUUACUGCGAAGGGGGGACGG